rnacentral:rRNA from 1 species
UACGUAGGGUGCAAGCGUUGUCCGGAAUUAUUGGGCGUAAAGAGCUCGUAGGCGGUUUGUCGCGUCGGCUGUGAAAACCUGGGGCUUAACUCCGGGCCUGCAGCCGAUACGGGCAGACUAGAGUUCGGCAGGGGAGACUGGAAUUCCUUGUGUAGCGGUGAAAUGCGCAGAUAUCAGGAGGAACACCGGUGGCGAAGGCGGGUCUCUGGGCAAUUCCUGACGCUGAGGCGCGAAAGCGUGGGGAGCAAACGGG